AUGCAGCUAAUAGGCCUUCAUUCAUCCCAAUAUUCGGCCUGUCAUCCUCCCCCAAUAUCCAUCAAAACCAGCACAUGCAACAUUCAACCGCCACAUCUGUUCUCUUUGGUUGUGUUGUACAUGCAUGCCAGCAUGGAUGGAAAUGGUCUGCCACAUUCAUUCACCGACACUGUUGUUCUCAGUGGCGGCAGACAGAUGUGCCGGGCUUUAUGGGCCGGAAUUGGAUAUGCCUUCUUGAUCUGGGCUAUGCGAGAGGCGAGGGAUGCUUUCAAAAGAAAAAAAACCUCAGUUCACUUCGCGCAGCUCUCACCCCGCCGUACCGGGAGGAAGGAGCGGCGGCGGCGGCGGCGACCUCAGGCGUCCGUCCCCUGCUGCGGCCAUCGACCGAUUGAUUCACUCGUCUCCGGAUCUUACAGAUGCGAGUGCCCUUCUCUCCCUAUUCAAUUUAGCUUCUCUCUCGCGGGAUUAAACCCUAGAGCCGUGCUGUUCCAUGGCGGCGAGGCAUCUAGGGCGCUCGACGACGACAACCUCCUCAGGGAGAUCCUUGUCCGAGUCGGCUUCCCCACCACCCUGGUGUGCGCCGCCCUCGUUUGCAAGCGUUGGUACCACCACGCCUCCGAGCCCGCCUUCCUCCGUCAUUUCCGCAAGCUCAACCCGCCCCGCCUCCUUGGCUUCUAUCUUGACUAUGGGUCGUAUUCGGUGCCGACCACUCCAUGCUUCGUCCCGAUGCCGCUUCAGGCCCCAGAGCUCGCAGCCGUUGUCCGUCGCAUGUCAAGCUACAGCUUCAGCCACCACGACCUUGUGCGGAUCGAGAAUUGCCAGAACGGCAUCAUCUCCACCUCAUUGUUCAGCUACAAAAGCGGCCGCUCUGAAGGAAUGCACAGCCCGCUGUGCCCUGAGAGAGACACCUUACUUCCACGUCCUCGAAUCAAGGACCAGGAUCGCGUCUAUUAUCAUCAAAUCCUUGCCAGAGAAAAAGACGAAUUUGAGUGUGUAAUGCUUUAG
rnacentral:rRNA from 1 species